GCCGAAUAAACUGAAAGAUCAUCUCAUCAGUCCCUUUAUUAGAUAAAUAUCACAAAUAUCUUAUACAAAUAUUAUAAUAUUUAGCAUUGAGAACAGGUUUCUUUUGUUUUGCAACAUAUCUCCAUGUCAACUAUACAGCCUGCUUUUGCUUAAUAUAUACAUGCUUAUUUAAAUAAUGUAUACAGUUGUAAUAAUACAUAAUGUUCCAUUUGAACUAAGAUUACAAUUUUAACACAUAAUAAACAUGGGCGUGAGUUUCAGAUGAUUUUACAGGUUUAAAUAUAAAUACUAGGUUUACAUAUGACUCAGUAAAGCCCUGAAAUUCGGUUCUAUUUAUUUAAUGAAUCGUAAUGCGAUCGUAUUAUUAAACGUGCUAUUAUUAUGUUUGAGAUAUCAACCACUGGUCGAUGACCAUAAUGUUUGUAUAAACUGUAGGUAACAACUGGUAAAAUGUACACCUCGGUCAUAAAAACCGUAAUAAUACCUACACUUAAAUAUUUUCUUCUCAUCCAUGUAAUUAAUCUCCCCCCAUCCGUUGUCUGAUUGGCAUUUCGCAAGGAUUCCUGGGUAGUUAAAGUGCGCGGAGCCUGCAUCUAUGCGGGCUUCGCUGAAGACCGCUUCAAGGGUACAAAGGGGCGCUACUGAGCACACUUCAGAGCGUUAAAAUGCUGAAUGGGACGGCCUACGGACUCGUAGACUCGGCGAGCACGCGCAAUUUAAGUCCACAAGACCGAAAGUCCACAUGAAGUGCGCCAUUUGGGACAGGGCCAAAGUUACAGGCAGGUGAGUGUUUUUUUCAGGGUUGGAGCUAAACUCUGCAGGACAAUGGCCCUCAAGGAUCAACGUUCCACACCCCUGCUUUAAGCCUUGUCUGUGAAACCAGAGGAUUGUGUAGGUAUAAUGUGCCACAAGAUGGCAGUGUUCUCAGAUAUUCACUAGGAACUGCAGCAAUGAACAACAGAAUUGAACUUACAGAACAGAACUUGUGAUGUUCUCAGAGAGGAGGGACUCAGAGUUCACAGAUCUGACAUGAUUUAAUCGUGUCUGAAAGAGACUGUGGAUGAAACGAUUCAGUCUGACUCUUCUCAGAGUGAACACUUGAACAAUGAAUCUUCAUUUACUUAUUCUGCUCUGUGUCUCAGCAGCUGCUGUCUUUGGAAAUACCAUCAAACCAGACACAAUAGAAGUUGGUACUGAUGAGGGACAAAAUGUUAUGUUGUCCUGUAGUUAUUCCUCCACUGGGUAUACAGAUACUCUCUUCUGGUACCGCCAGUAUGGAAGAUCAAAACCUGAAUUUCUUGUUUCCACCUUAAGUACUGCAACAGUUCCUGAAGAAUCUGAUGUAGAUUCAAGAUUUUCUGUUAAAGUCACAAAAAAGGAACAAAUCCAUGUGGAUCUGAUCAUCUCCUCUGCUGCAGUAUCAGACUCUGCUCUGUAUUACUGUGCUCUGAGGCCCACAGUCACAGGAAACACUGUAACUCUGUACAAAAACCCUUCUGUAUUUAAUCCAAUGAGAACAAGCAACAGACACAGAGACAAAGACUACAAGAGAAUCUGUAAACUGCAGAUGUAAGUAAUAAGUAGAGCAAUAACUGAAUGAAAAUAAAUAAAUUGAUUGCAUUAAAUCCAUACAAAAGUAGUCUAUAGAUUAUGUUUCAAUACAUUAUCAUGUGUUACAGAUCGUGCAGAUACAAUGUGCCACAAGGUGUCAGUGUUCUCAGACAUUCACUAGGAACUAGAGCCCUGCGCGGGACUGAUUUCCUUAACCCGCUCCCGCUGAAUAUCUGACCAGGACCGCCCGCUCCCGCAACCCGCGUGUUCCACUCCCGCCCGCGCCCGCAAAGUUUGUGUCCAAACCCGCCCGCUCCCGCGGACUUUCUCUCAGAACUUGUAAAAAAAGGCCUAAACAAAUACUCACUUUACUUUAAACAUGAUUGCAUUUAAAUAAGAUGAAGUAGCCUCAAAACCAAAGCACCACACGUGAUAAAAAACAUUGGGUAUUUUUUAUUAGCGUUAUUAAACAUUAACCGUUAACAAAACCACAACUAGCGGCACCUCAGUUUUUAAACGCAGGCUACUGCAUACACACUCACCGAACGAUUAACUAAACAAGCAGUUUAAAUAACAGUUUAAGUAAAUAAGC